UACGAAGGGAGCUAGCGUUGUUCGGAAUCACUGGGCGUAAAGCGCACGUAGGCGGAUGUGUCAGUCAGGGGUGAAAUCCCGGAGCUCAACUUCGGAACUGCCUUUGAUACAGCACAUCUGGAGUCCGGAAGAGGUGGGUGGAAUUCCUAGUGUAGUGGUGAAAUUCGUAGAUAUUAGGAAGAACACCGGUGGCGAAGGCGGCCCACUGGUCCGGUACUGACGCUGAGGUGCGAAAGCGUGGGGAGCAAACAGG
rnacentral:rRNA from 1 species